CUUCCAGUAGCACCUUAGAGACCAACUAAUUUUGUUAUUGGUAUGAGCUUUCGUGUGCAUGCACAUGAAAGCUCAUACCAAUAACAAACUUAGUUGGUCUCUAAGGUGCUACUGGAAG